UCUUCAACUGAUACUCAGAAAAAAAAAAGUAAUAGAAAAAAUAAUUCAAUGGACAAAAAUUAGUGUCUCUUCAACUGAUACUCAGAAAAAAAAAGUAAUAGAAAAAAUACUUCCAUGAAAGUGAAGUCGUAACCAUUACAUCAAUAGUUCUGAUAUUUAAAUGAUGCACAGGUGUCUUGAAUUAAUUCUCUUUGCUAUAGAAUAUAGUAGUUUUCAUUUUAUGAAAAAAAAUCCAUGUAACCAAGGCAUCCUGAUCCUUCAGGAUAUAAAUAAAUACUGCAUAGCAUUAUGUAAAACAUGCAAAACUCCCAAGCUCCUUCAUCAUUAUACCUGUGUGGAUCCAUGUAUAAACUACAUUCAAGCAUACCAUUUAACAUAUUAUUUGACAAUGUGAGACAAAAUGAUAGGCCAUCACAUAUGCCUUUCAUGUCCUAUUUAUUAGCUAAAUCAGUCUGUAAUACCUCAUUGCUUAAUCUUCACAUUGACUUCAAAUGAUAAUCACUCGAUAGUUUUCAUUUGUUUCUAUUAUUAGCUUAUUUUCUAUAUCCUUAAACUAAAAAAAAAUCAUCAAUUCCUAUAACUUUGAACAUAUAAUCCCUCUGUAUUUCACAUUUCCUGUUAACGUUUGGCACCAAGUCUAUCAACCUAAUUCAUAACAUCGAAAGAUAUACAUUAGAUGUUUCAGUGUUGUCAUAUAUGCCCAUAGUUGUUCUUCUGUUAUAUAUAACAAUCAGGUUUUCUUUAUGUGCCUUCACUAGUGCUCAUUAUCCAAUUUUUUUUGUGACAAAUUUGCUUUGAAAAGAACAACCUUACACCUAGGAGGCUUGGGCUGCUUUGAGGUCUCAAGUAGGUGCUGCAUAAAUCCAGACAGCCACUCCAAUGCCUUAGAAAAACAAAAGCAUAAAAGGUUUGAUACAGUGUAAUGUCCCAUAGAACCACAUCAGUUCAGGCAACAGUCAUGAUAAACAUGUAAAGACAUAAAUAAUUUUUUAAAAAAGAAAAGAUAUAAACAAUUAAAGCAUAUUAAUAGAUAUAUCAGAUGAAGAA
rnacentral:lncRNA from 1 species